AGAGAACACCCGAUUCAACCUUUGCUCAACAUUUCGCCAUGACACAGGCAAAGCAACAACAAGAAUGUUAAUUCUGACGCAAUGUUUGCAGAUCGACCCAAAGCAAAGUCUUAAAUAAAAGGGAAUUUUCAGAGAACAGAGACUCAUUUGAUUGUGACAGCAGGACUGUGGGCAGUAUUCAGGUUUCACAUCCCCCCCAACCUUCAGCUGCCUUCCAAGGAGGUUCCUGCCGCUCAAUACUGCCUCCUGGUGGAGCUUUCAGGAUUUGCCUCCUUGGUGGAGAACAAAAACCUCAGAGAGACUCCCCUCAUCCGGGAAAAUGCGUGCCCUAUAGCAUCUCCUUCACAUCUCAUUUCAGCUCUGCCUAUUAACCAGAACAAAACCCAGAUGGUGAGAAAAAUGAAACCCAUCAAUCCAAAGCUCCCCUGGAUCUUAUAGAAAGCCUCAUCUUUCUCUGGUGCAGACGACACCUAAAAGCCAGAUGGCUCUAUCAAGAAAUGCAACGACUUUACCAACAGCAACACCAACAACACUAAAUGUAACUACACUCGACCCAUCCAGCAGUCAUAAGUGGGAGUUCUUGGUGGCGGUUGUGGUCGCAGCCAUUUUCAUCUCCAUUAUUAUUGCACUUCUGGCCAAGUGCCAGGUGAUCCGGCAGUACCUGGCCAGCUACAGGCACAAACGGCUGAGAGAUGCAGACGUUAGCAGCCAAGCUGAGCCAUCAGAUUUUGCGGCAGGAUUUGACAUGCGAGGACGCUAUGGAAUGGACCGUAACUGUAUCCCACGCAUGACUGAGGAGGAUGAUGAUGGCUUCAUUGAAGACAAUUACAUUCCCACCAGUGAGAGAGCCAGAGCUGAGAGAGCAGCAGAGAGCUUGGAUACAGACACAGAGGAUGACACGGAUGAGAUAGAGUUUUCCAUUGGUUAGUGCUGGAAAAAGCUUUUGGCUGAACCGCAAACCAGAAGCCACCACUUCCACUUGUUCUUCUUUGUGUCUUCAUUAGAAAUUAAACACUUGAAGAACAAAAGCUAAGUAUGGUUAAAUUAAUUUAAUACUCUAGCAGUGUUAAAUUCUGUGUAUGGGGUUUGGAUUUGGAAGCUUGGAAAAAUCUCCUUUUAUUUUUCAAACAGGUUGUUAGCUCCACACACAUCAAAAACACAUUUUCCAAAAGUUUUGAACCAAUCUACAGAAUUUCACACAGCUUUUACCUCUUUUUUUGGAACCCUAUACCUGAUCCAACUGACUUGAAUUUAGUGCUUUAUUUGCUUCAGUUCAAUUUAAAGGCCUUUUUUUUUCUUCUAACACAUUAUGAGACCAUGCAUACAUCAAACAAUGAAAAAAAGUUGCAAAAAUGUCUGUCGUGCUCAGUAACACCUAAUCAUAGUAUUUCCACUACCGUGCUUUAGAUUCCAUUAUUUCCUUGGGUGUAUUUAUUUUGCAUGUUCCUGCACACAAAAUGUCUGAAAGACAUAGGCAUUGAGCAUGUGGAGUUAUAUAUUAAAACUACAAAAAUGAAAUUAGACAAAAUGAAUUCAUCAACAUACAUAUCCAAGUAGGUGUUUAAAAGAGAAACUCUUAUUUGCAAAUAAGUUAAUUGUUUUUAAUAAAAGGAAAACAGAGUAACAGGAAAGGUUUAGUUAUCUUUUCAAAUAAGGUGUAUCAUGAAUGGCUUUGUAUAAGAGAGAAUAGAUGGUAAUCUAGCCUGAUUUUAUGGAGCAAUACAGAAUAAUUUUACAAAUAGUUCUGCAAAAUUAAAAAAAAUUAUGCAUUAGCAGUAAUUAUAAAGGUUGUGAAGUGGUUCAUUUGCAAAGAAUGUGCCAUUUUUGUAUGUUUUUUAAAUGUACUAUUUUCAAAGGCGAGGCGUUAUAGCAUACAUAAAAAUAUCAGGCACUUCAAAUGACAUUUCUUGAUUGUUUUUCACGUUUGUUACUUUUUCUUUUCUAACAUUUUAUGACUCGGUGACCUGUGAUGUUGCACGAUUUCUAGUGUUGUUUUAUUGUCAAAUAAAAAAACCUUUAAAAAGAUUUUUGUUCAAAAUACCAUAUCUUACGGCGACUAUGCUGAAAGUAAAUUUCAGAAAAGCUGCAUUUAUUAAAAAAAUCAAUUCAGAAAAAAAGGCAGAAUAGUAUGCAUAAAUAUUAAAAGUAGAUUAAAUCUAUAUUUUAUGCUGCAAAUAAAUUUGAAUUAAAUUUUUACACUCGGGUUGAAAGGGAUCCUUGUGGCUUUCCUCUUUUUGUGGCCACAAACAACCUAUUCCUAAAGAUAAAGUGAAAAAUUCAGGUCAUUUGUUGUUACUAAAUGUUCAGUGCUCUAAACAAAAUAAGAAUUGUAUGAUUGAUGCUCAGGUUUAUUUUUCUUUUUUUUUGAAGAAUGGUUAAAUCUGUCCUCCUUGUUGUUACCUUACCUGCGCAUUCACUAAGUUUUCAGUCUUUAAUCUUGGUGUACUGACCCAAAAUAAUCAUUUUAACUUUUAAAAAAAAUCACUAUCAACUUAAGACUAAGCACAAACUCAUCGCAGUUGCUCUUUCUGAACACCAACAUGAAUCAUAAUCAACACCGAUUCAUCGAAACGUUGGAAUAAACUACAGUAAACCAGUUUGACGCCGCGUCUGGUGGAAGAGCCUGAAGCGUUGGAGAUCCUGUAAGACCAGGCGAGGCGGCUGAUGAGAGCUGUCUGACAGGUCUGCGUGGAGCUGGCAGGCGAGGCUUCACCAGGAAACACGGCGCGUGAAGUUGACUGCAAAACCGGAAAAUGAUCAACGUGUACUUCAAAAUAAAAGCUCUCUUUUGAUAUUCAAAAAAUAAAUGAAAAAAUAAACAUGCAUAAACAAACAAAAAAAUAAAAUUAUAUACUGUAUAAUUAUGUACAUAUGUUAGAGCUAUUCAAGAACCUUAGGAUAAAAAACAACAUUGUAUUAUGAGUAUAAAAAUAUGUGUUUUUGAAGAUGUGUUGAUAACUUUUGAGAUAGUUUUUAAGAGGGUUUGAUUAAGAGGAUUUAUGGCCAUGGUAAAUUUGAACAUAACAAAAGAAAGCUUAAUACACGGAUUAUAUUAGACCACAUCCUUGGAGGUAUAAUAUUACUGUGACUUAAAUGCUACUACAAAUCCUUAAAACCUUAUGUACAAACAUAAAAUUGAGCAUCAAUUUGUUUAGUGACUUUAACAAUGACAAGGAUUUGACUGAUGCAAAGAAAAAAACUGGGAUGUAAAUGUGUGUAUUUUAGUCAAUGUUGUAUAGAUACAAACUAAUAUGCAAUUGUUUGUGUUUGUUGCAAAUGCAAACUUAUGUCAACUAAAAAUAAGAAUGGUAUUGCAGCUAAACGACUUUUUCAGAUGUAUUUUUUCCUUUUUGUUUUUUCUACAAGAAACUAUUUCAAAACAAUGUUUGUUUUGUUUUUUGCUUUUUUGCUAAAUUAUGCUAGCUGCUUAAAUAAGAGGAGUCUUUUUUACAGGUAAAAUAUUUGGAAACCCUGUAUCACAGUUUUGGUUGAAUGGGAAAUAUGGGACGGUAUUUUAACACAAUUAAACAAAACAUCCUCAAUAAUUAUUGCUAGUAUUUUUCUUUUAAGGAUCCUGAAAUAGAAUUCUUCAUUUGAAUUUUAUUUUUUACUUUUCUUUCCGUGUACAAUACACACAUUUGAUGGUAUUUUUGGGAUGGGAUUUUUAUGCAACCUUAUGAAGAAUGGGGAAACUAGGGUGUCCUGUCAGAAAAUUCUGUCCACCCUAAAAAAUUACAAAAAGGAAUGUGUCAGACUGUUUUAUAAUUCUUUAAAAUAAAAAUAAAUUAAUU